rnacentral:rRNA from 1 species
GACGAACGCUGGCGGCGUGCUUAACACAUGCAAGUCGAGCGGUAAGGCCCUUUCGGGGGUACACGAGCGGCGAACGGGUGAGUAACACGUGGGUGACCUGCCCUCAGCUCUGGGAUAAGCCUGGGAAACUGGGUCUAAUACUGGAUAUGACUCCACGGUGCAUGUCGGUGGGGUGGAAAGCCUUGUGCGGCUGAGGAUGGGCCCGCGGCCUAUCAGCUUGUUGGUGGGGUGA